ACAAAAAGCCCGUGUUUCAGCUAGACAGCUUGGCCAGUGAAAAUUUCUAUGUGAGGCUUGUUUUUAAUUGACUUGAUGAGUUUUAUGCAUCUGCCCACUCGAAAUAUUCUGGUUAUGAAACCGUCUCUUUGUUCGCUGCUUGGCUUUUGGUUUCGAAGCAGGCAAAGCAAGCAGCGUGUGCUAAUGAAAAGGACACAGAAAGAGAGAUGUUAAUGCAACGUACUGCAUUAAACAUUUCGGUUUGCCUACGGCUUUUUGACCACUUUUGGUUUGUUUAGUAAUCCCAAACCAUAUGUAUAUAGAGUGAUUGACAAGAUCCAUUGUGUUUGAAGCGGCUUCCCAAUGGAUUGAACGCAGAUAUAAAUAUCUGAUGCUCAGAAUCUUUAGAGAUGAGCUCCUGAUACAUCAAAAUAGCAUUUGAUUUUCUUUCAUAUCUGCUCUGAAAUUUUUCAUGCAAAUGUCAAAUUAAAAUGAUGAAAAAGAGACUCUAAAAAAACCCCAAUGGUUUUAACUUCAUAGGAUACUAACUUAAGAAGUUAAGAAAAAAUACUACGAAAAACAUAAAACCAUAGAAUCGUAGAAAAACCAAAGGAUGUAAUCCUUUGAAAAUCAUUUGUGCAUAUAACAACAUAAAGGACAUUAUUAGAUCAAUUCUUAUCUGUCUAUAAAACUGAGAGAGUAUGAAUAAAUGGCAAAGAAUGGAGAUUUGUUAGCAAUCUUCUGAAUAAUUAUACAAAGUAGGCUACAGUGUUUAUAUCUAAUGCAUAUUUUAAAAAAUGGAUGGUUUUCAUCAUCUUCCGAAUUUGUAACGCAAACUACCUUCAAUUCAAUGUAAAUAAACGUGAUGGUAUUAUCAAAGGUCAUGGACUUUACUGAAGGUCAUAGUGCAGCUGUGUAGAAACCAAAUGAUGUGUUCAGCCUUUAGGUUGGUCUCUGCAUAAAUUGGGGUCAAGCUGAAAAAGAGAACCUUGCUAACGAUCCGCACGCCUGUAUCUGUUCUCUGUCAUCAAAAUUCUGUUGUGUCUGAUGCACAAUAACCCCAGCUGGGCAGCUGUUUUACAAAAUCCACCAUUUGCAGCUAGAAAGACAGCAAAAAUGCUGUGCCUGCUAUCCAAAGCGGUGGAGCCAGAUUGCUUUUGCGGUGCAUCCUUCCAAGCCACCUGGUGGAGAAAUGGCCAUGGGCUGGAGGCAUUAGCCAAUAUCGUAGCAUAGUAAAGAAUAAAACCACAACAUUUCACUGUGCACUGCUAUACUUUAUUGAGGGCUAAAAUGGUGCAGGUUGCAUAGCUUAAAAACGUGAGCCAAGAAGUUACCGAUAUUUGCAAAACGCUCUUUUUUGACUCUCUUGUGUAAGACUCUCCAAUAUGUUUAGAACCUGAAUCAAACUGCUGGAGAUAAAAUGAGAUAUGAGGUGCAAAGGCAGAGACUGAAAGCUUUCACUCACGUGUCACCAUCCAGAUGUCAUGAGAAGGAAUCUAGGCUGCUGCUGUUGCCUUGGUUGCCUCAGCAUAGCCCCAUUCCAUUUUAGUAAGCAGACAGUGUGACAGCUCAGCCAGGGUCUCUAAGGGAGGACCUGCAGGCACUUGCACAUGGACUGGGAGAUGCCCUGGACAUUUCUGUACUGCAGGAUUUAGCUUAAACCUUGCUCUAACCAUCCCCGAAGUUCAAACUUUGGGUUAAUGCACAGAUUAAAUGCUUUCAUUCUCUUUCUCUGUCUCAGUGAUGAUGUCCUUACCCAACAGGAUGAGCCCCAGACUGUUGCCAAUACCGAAUACAUCAUUGGGCCUCGGUUUACAAACUUGGGCAAUGAUCAGUGAUCACUGUUGUUCUGGAAGAAGUUGUUCCCAUCCUUGCAGCUGAAAAUUGAAGCAUUUUCAAGAACGUCACAGGAAAAUUUGAAUGGCACAGCAGCAAAUGGUGUUAAGUUGUGAUGCUAUCAAAGGAGUGAGUGGUGACUAGGGUGAUUGGAGUGAUGCCCGAACAUGGCAUGGAAACUGCAGCACUCAAACCAAACAGGGACCCAACCGAGGAAUUUUUUGGACAACAUAACACGGAAUGCUGUUCAUGUCUUCUAUGAUAACUAAUUCUAUAUGCUUGAAACAAAUUUAUUAUGAUUUACUAAGAGCCGGUGACUGGAAUACUCCGGGCAGAGUAUUCUGAUAUUCUUUCCGUUGUCUGAAGCACACACGUUAUGCUGUACAUUGUCCAAAAAAAGCUAUUUUCCGUCUUGAAAGAAAUAUCAAUAGCUAAUUAGGUUUCAUUAAUGAUACCCUCCCCCUUUAAUAAAUAUUUGUGUUUGUGAUUGGUUUAUAUUAUAAAUCAGGUGUGGAGCUGACCUGGGAAAACUCCCAGAUCUUUGUUCUUCUGUCUUACAAGGCUCUUGUAAAGUGUCCUCAUUGUUUAACUCCCAAAUUAAAAGUGCCCGAACAAAAUACUGAUAGAAGUUUGCUCUGCUAGUGCACACUGAGGCCAUUCUCAUUACCUAACACAAGCUCCUGUUGACUUCUGUGAAAGAGAGGAGGUCAGAGGGGAUGCAGGCUCUACAGCAGCUUGUUUAGAAGAUUAUGAGUGUUCCUGUCUUCUGAGGAUGGGCAUGGAGACCCAUGACAGCAAGAGUCUACAAAUCUUGUUGGCUAAAACUGACAGUGUAAAAGACUUACUCAGUGUAGUAGGCAGCAAGCAAGUGGAAGCAGACACCAGUAUUUUCUUCCUAUGUAGCCGUUGUUGAAACCUGUUGUUUCCCUCCGUUUGCUCUUCCCAGCCACGUUUUUGUCACUGGAAUAAUGAUGAGCUCAUCCCAUGGCUUUUCAAAAGCAAACGGAUGCCACCAAUUCUUUCAAUUUCCAAAUAAGCAGGGGAGCUGUUACUUUUCUCUCACAUCUAAUUCAGUCUUCUUCCAUAUUCCAUGAAAGGUUCCUGAAGAGUUGUUCUUACUUUGCAUGAACACUAAAAAAAAAUGUUGUUAAUAAUUCAGUCUCCUUCUCCCAUCCAAAUUAGACUCUGGA